CCACGAGCUGUUUAUACUGUUUGGGCAUGAGGAGAGUGGCAAGGAGUCUCCUGCAAUAAUGAGGGAGCUCUGCUCCUGGGAUCGUUUCUGGCACUCCCCUUAUCCUCAGGUUGCGUGCCCUGGCCUUGUCCUCUAUGCUGGCUAUUUGGGCUUGAUGGUCAGCACAUUGCAUCUGCAGCAUUGCUAUGGCUGUAUCUGUAGCUGACUGCGCUAGUUUAGAGCCUUCCAUGCUUUCCUCCAUUGUAUGUACAUGAGUUGUGAGGGUGGACACAGCCUCCCGGACUGGUGCCAUGUCCGCAUUAAACAUGGCCUGGAUUUCUUUCAUUAAGGAUUUUAUGUCUGCCUUAGUGGAUGGGGCUGAGUCUUCCAGUCCUGCAUGAGCCUG